GGCGAACGCUGGCGGCGUGCUUAACACAUGCAAGUCGAACGAUGACGACCGAGCUUGCUCGGUCUGAUUAGUGGCGAACGGGUGAGUAACACGUGAGCAACCUGCCCUUCACUCUGGGAUAACCUCGGGAAAUCGGGGCUAAUACCGGAUAUGAGCUCCUGUCGCAUGGCGGGUGUUGGAAAGUUUUUCGGUGAAGGAUGGGCUCGCGGCCUAUCAGUUUGUUGGUGAGGUAGUGGCUCACCAAGGCGAUGACGGGUAGCCGGCCUGAGAGGGCGACCGGCCACACUGGGACUGAGACACGGCCCAGACUCCUACGGGAGGCAGCAGUGGAGAAUAUUGCACAAUGGGCGAAAGCCUGAUGCAGCGACGCCGCGUGAGGGAUGACGGCCUUCGGGUUGUAAACCUCUUUCAGCAGGGAAGAAGCGAAAGUGACGGUACCUGCAGAAGAAGCGCCGGCUAACUACGUG
rnacentral:rRNA from 1 species